rfam:Glycine soja cultivar W05 scaffold659_15, whole genome shotgun sequence.
UUCUUAUUGGAUGAUGACUGUCAUGUGUCAUGUUUUGAUUGGAUGUUAACUCCAUGAAAGAUAAAAUGCAUUGUUGUUUUCAUUGACCAAUCAAAACAUGACACGUGAUAGUCAUCAUCC